GGAAGCCCUGAUUGCCCAAAGCUUCUUAACACAUUCUUUAUUAGCUUUCCUCUCUUCCCUGUUUCAUAUUCCCUGUGCUCCCCUGGGAUCAACAGCCAAAUGAACAACUUCACCUGAGCCCUUACCUCCAAGGAAGUGCCACAGGGGAACCCAAAGGCCCUUAAUCAUUAAAAAAAACUUUAGAGAUGCUGGCUGAGCCAUCAGUGAGAACAUGGAUGCAUACACAGAACCUACAUCUUGUCAUCUCUGCUCUUCGAGGAAUGGAGCUGGAGAGGCAGAGAAGCAAUGAAGCCGAAUUCUUAUAAGGUGUGAUCUGGAAAGAGAAUUGAGAGAUUCAGGAAGAAUCAAAUUGCUUUCUGAAAUCAAGUAACAGAAAGUCUCUCUGGUACUUUGAUGAGUGAAGAAAACAGGGGUACUCAAAACCUGGAGUGAACUGUGAAGAUAAAACAACAGCCCUGGGAUGCUUAGGAGCCAGAAGACAGUAAGAGACCAACUAUGCCUUGGAUGGACCCUACAUGUGGGGUUACAUUCCUUUGUGCUAAGAGGAAGGUGAUUCUGAGAGCUUGAUGGCAUCUAAUUCCUUCAAGAGUUGGCUGAGACAUGUAUUCAAGGGCACAGAGUUGGAUUAUAUUUGG
rnacentral:lncRNA from 1 species